CCUACGGGGGGCAGCAGUGGGGGAUAUUGCACAAUGGGGGGAACCCUGAUGCAGCGACGCCGCGUGGGUGAAGAAGCGCCUCGGCGCGUAAAGCCCUGUCAGCAGGGAAGAAAAUGACGGUACCUGAAGAAGAAGCCCCGGCUAACUACGUGCCAGCAGCCGCGGUAAUACGUAGGGGCCAAGCGUUAUCCGGAUUUACUGGGGGUAAAGGGGGCGCAGACGGCGAUGCAAGCCAGGAGUGAAAGCCGGGGGCCGAACCCCGGGACUGCUCUUGGAACUGCGUGGCUGGAGUGCAGGAGGGGCAGGCGGAAUUCCUGGUGUAGCGGUGAAAUGCGUAGAUAUCAGGAGGAACACCGGUGGCGAAGGCGGCCUGCUGGACUGCAACUGACGUUGAGGCCCGAAAGCGUGGGGAGCAAACAGGAUUAGAUACCCCUGUAGUC
rnacentral:rRNA from 1 species